AGUGAACGCUGGCGGUAGGCCUAACACAUGCAAGUCGAACGGCAGCACAGUAAGAGCUUGCUCUUACGGGUGGCGAGUCGCGGACGGGUGUGGAAUACAUCUGAAUCUACUUUUUCGUGGGGUAUAACGUAGGGAAACUUACGCUAAUACCGCAUACGACCUACGGGUGAAAGCAGGGGCUCUUCGGACCUUGCGCGUUUGAAUGAGCCGAUGUCGGAUUAGCUAGUUGGCGGGGUAAAGGCCCACCAAGGCGACGAUCCGUAGCUGGUCUGAGAGGAAGAUCAACCACAUUGGAACAGAGACAAGGUACAGACUCCUACGGGAGGAAGCAGUGGGGAAUAUUGGACAAGGGGGGCAAGCCUGAUCCAGCCAUACCGCGUGGGUGAAGAAGGCCUUAGGGUUGUAAAGCGAUGUUGUUGGGAAAGAAAAGAAGCAGGUUAAUACCCCGCUGUUAUGACGGUACCCAAAGAAUAAGCACCGGCUAACUUCGUG
rnacentral:rRNA from 1 species